GACGAACGCUGGCGGCGUGCUUAACACAUGCAAGUCGAACGGAAAGGCCCUGCUUUUGUGGGGUGCUCGAGUGGCGAACGGGUGAGUAACACGUGGGUAACCUGCCCUUGACUUUGGGAUAACUUCAGGAAACUGGGGCUAAUACCGGAUAGGAGCUCCUGCUGCAUGGUGGGGGUUGGAAAGUUUCGGCGGUUGGGGAUGGACUCGCGGCUUAUCAGCUUGUUGGUGGGGUAGUGGCUUACCAAGGCUUUGACGGGUAGCCGGCCUGAGAGGGUGACCGGCCACAUUGGGACUGAGAUACGGCCCAGACUCCUACGGGAGGCAGCAGUGGGAAAUAUUGCACAAUGGGCGGAAGCCUGAUGCAGCAACGCCGCGUGCGGGAUGACGGCCUUCGGGUUGUAAACCGCUUUCGCCUGUGACGAAGCGUGAGUGACGGUAAUGGGUAAAGAAGCACCGGCUAACUACGUG
rnacentral:rRNA from 1 species